UACGUAGGGGGCAAGCGUUGUCCGGAAUCAUUGGGCGUAAAGAGCGCGUAGGCGGCCCUGUAAGUCCGCUGUGAAAGUCAAGGGCUCAACCCUUGAAUGCCGGUGGAUACUGCAGGGCUAGAGUCCGGAAGAGGCGAGUGGAAUUCCUGGUGUAGCGGUGAAAUGCGCAGAUAUCAGGAGGAACACCGAUGGCGAAGGCGGAUCUCUGGGCCUGUUCUGACGCUGAGGCGCGAAAGCUAGGGGAGCGAACAGG
rnacentral:rRNA from 1 species